AAUGGAACUGCUGAGUGAUAUGGUAAUUCUACAUUUAACCUUUUGAGAAACCACCAGAUUGUUUUCCACAGAGGCUGUACCAUUUUACAUUCCCACAAGCAGG
rnacentral:pre_miRNA from 1 species